AUUGAACGCUGGCGGCAUGCUUUACACAUGCAAGUCGAACGGCAGCGCGGGCUUCGGCCUGGCGGCGAGUGGCGAACGGGUGAGUAAUGCAUCGGAACGUGCCCAGUAGUGGGGGAUAGCCCGGCGAAAGCCGGAUUAAUACCGCAUACGACCUGAGGGUGAAAGCGGGGGACCGAAAGGCCUCGCGCUAUUGGAGCGGCCGAUGUCGGAUUAGCUAGUUGGUGGGGUAAAGGCUUACCAAGGCGACGAUCCGUAGCUGGUCUGAGAGGACGACCAGCCACACUGGGACUGAGACACGGCCCAGACUCCUACGGGAGGCAGAAGUGGGGAAUGGUGGACAAUGGGGGCAACCCUGAUCCAGCCAUGCCGCGUGCGGGAAGAAGGCCUUCGGGUUGUAAACCGCUUUUGUUCGGGAAGAAAUCCUCUGGGCUAAUACCCCGGGGGGAUGACGGUACCGGAAGAAUAAGCACCGGCUAACUACGUG
rnacentral:rRNA from 1 species